rnacentral:rRNA from 1 species
UGGGGAAUAUUGGACAAUGGGCGCAAGCCUGAUCCAGCAAUGCCGGGUGUGUGAAGAAGGUUUUCGGAUUGUAAAGCACUUUCAGCGGGGACGAUGAUGACGGUACCCGCAGAAGAAGCCCCGGCUAACUUCGUGCCAGCAGCCGCGGUAAUACGAAGGGGGCAAGCGUUUCUUGGAAUGACUGGGCGUAAAGGGCGCGUAGGCGGUUGACACAGUCAGAUGUGAAAUUCCUGGGCUUAACCUGGGGGCUGCAUUUGAUACGUGGCGACUAGAGUGUGAGAGAGGGUUGUGGAAUUCCCAGUGUAGAGGUGAAAUUCGUAGAUAUUGGGAAGAACACCGGUGGCGAAGGC